CUGGAAAGCUUGCUUUCUUACAAUGGAUUUAUGACUGAGUCCUCUAUCUCUUUCAACUGGAUCUUAAUAUAAGCAAAUAAUUCAAAUGAUAUGGUGACUGUAAAUGAUAAACUUUUAUUCUGAAUAUACUGUUUUUGCACAAGAUUUAACACAACAUUUUCUGGGAUUAUAAAUAUUUUUAUAACAGUAUUAUACAAAUUUUUACAAAAUGUUUUUAACAGGCUAGUUAACUUCCACAAAAAUGUCAAGAGAACAUAAUGGGGGGGGUCUAUUUUUCACAAAAGCCACUUGGCCUUUUUCAGGGAUGCACAUUGAGCAUUUCAUUGAAAGAAUCCCUAAAAGCAUGAUCCAACAAUCACACAACACAACAGAAAGGACAGCUUCUCCAAGCUUCUCAACUGGCAUCUAUCCAAGACAGUGGCCCAUUACUCAGCAGAAUUUCUCUGAGAAGAUCAAAACAGCAAAACCAGGGGGAAUUUAAAUCACUAUUUUCUCUUGAACACCCAUGCCAGAGUCUCUGACUAAAUAAAUAUCAACCGCCAGGGCUGAUUGCAAAGCACCAACCCUCUUCUCAGGACAACUCGCCCGGACAAACCCUAAGAACAACUCAAAUAAUCUUUUUACCAGUUCAAGUCAACCACUUGAUCCAGGAAGUUGGACAGACUAAAAUAUUUGAUAAUGUAUUAUUUUAAACAUGUAAGGUUUUGACAAGAAAAUAUUUUAGAAAUCAUUUCAGAUACUGUAU
rnacentral:lncRNA from 1 species